rnacentral:rRNA from 1 species
GACGAACGCUGGCGGCGUGCUUAACACAUGCAAGUCGAGCGGAAAGACCCUGCUUUUGUUGCGUUCUCGAUUGGCGAACAGGUGAGUAACACGUGAGUAACCUGCCCUUGACUUUGGGAUAACUCCUGGGAACUGGGGCGAAUACCGGGUAUGAUCUCCUGCUGCAUAUGGUGGGUUGGAGAAUUUCGGCGUUUCGGGAUGGUCUCGCGGCGUAUUAGCUUGUUGGUGAGGUAGGGGCUUACCAAGGCUACGACGGGUAGCCGACGUGAGAGGGUGAUCGGCCACACUGGAACUGAGACACGGUCCAGACUCCUACGGGAGGCAGCAGUAGGGAAUCGUCCGCAAUGGGCGAGAGCCUGACGGAGCAACGCCGCGUGAGUGAUGAAGGUCUUCGGAUCGUAAAACUCUGUUAUUAGGGAAGAACAAAUGUGUAAGUAACUAUGCACGUCUUGACGGUACCUAAUCAGAAAGCCACGGCUAACUACGUG